AUUGAACGCUGGCGGCAGGCCUAACACAUGCAAGUCGAGCGAGCGGCGGACGGGUGUGUAAUGUAUGGGGACUGCCCGAUAGAGGGGGAUACCUACUGGAAACGGUAGCUAAUACCGCAUACUCUCGGAUAACCCAUAUGGGAUUAGCUAGUAGGUGGGGUAAUGGCUCACCUAGGCGACGAUCCCUAGCUCGUCUGAGAGGAUGAUCGGCCACACUGGGACUGAGACGCGGCCCAGACUCCUACGGAGGCAGCAGUGGGGAAUAUUGCACAAUGGGCGCAAGCCUGAUGCAGCCAUGCCGCGUGAAGGAAGACGGUCUUCGGAUUGUAAACUUCUUUAGACAGGGACGCGGUACCUGUAGAAUAAGCCACGGCUAACUACGUGCCAGCAGCCGCGGUAAUUC
rnacentral:rRNA from 1 species